rnacentral:rRNA from 1 species
AUACGGAGGGUGCAAGCGUUACUCGGAAUCACUGGGCGUAAAGCGCGCGCAGGCGGCUUGAUAAGUUGGAUGUGAAAGCCUACGGCUCAACCGUAGAACUGCAUCCAAAACUGUCAAGCUAGAGUCUGAGAGGGGAAGAUGGAAUUAGUUGUGUAGGGGUAAAAUCCGUAGAGAUAACUAGGAAUACCAAAAGCGAAGGCGAUCUUCUGGAACAGUACUGACGCUGAGGCGCGAAAGCGUGGGGAGCAAACAGUAUUAGAAACCCCAGUAGUCC